rnacentral:rRNA from 1 species
GACGAACGCUGGCGGCGUGCCUAAUACAUGCAAGUCGAACGCUUCUUUCCUCCCGAGUGCUUGCACUCAAUUGGAAAGAGGAGUGGCGGACGGGUGAGUAACACGUGGGUAACCUACCCAUCAGAGGGGGAUAACACUUGGAAACAGGUGCUAAUACCGCAUAACAGUUUAUGCCGCAUGGCAUAAGAGUGAAAGGCGCUUUCGGGUGUCGUUGAUGGAUGGACCCGCGGUGCAUUAGCUAGUUGGUGAGGUAACGGCUCACCAAGGCCACGAUGCAUAGCCGACCUGAGAGGGUGAUCGGCCACACUGGGACUGAGACACGGCCCAGACUCCUACGGGAGGCAGCAGUAGGGAAUCUUCGGCAAUGGACGAAAGUCUGACCGAGCAACGCCGCGUGAGCGAAGAAGGUUUUCGGAUCGUAAAACUCUGUUGUUAGAGAAGAACAAGGACGUUAGUAACUGAACGUCCCCUGACGGUAUCUAACCAGAAAGCCACGGCUAACUACGUG